GCUCACUUAGGCAGCACAUAUACUAAAACUGUAACGAUCCAGAGAAGAUUCACAUGGCCCCUGCGCAAGGAUGACACACAAAUUUGUGAAGCUUCCUUACUUUUA